UACGGAGGGUCCAAGCGUUAUCCGGAUUUAUUGGGUUUAAAGGGUCCGUAGGCGGGCUUAUAAGUCAGAGGUGAAAUCCCAUCGCUCAACGAUGGAACUGCCUUUGAUACUGUAGGUCUUGAAUAUAUUUGAAGUAGGCGGAAUAUGUAGUGUAGCGGUGAAAUGCAUAGAUAUUACAUAGAACACCAAUUGCGAAGGCA
rnacentral:rRNA from 1 species